rnacentral:lncRNA from 1 species
CAAGAAUGAAAACACCACGUUUGUGAGUCACACCAGGCCUGUCCCACAGGCAAGGGGUACGCAUGUGGGGGUUGGAGAAGCCUGGGGCUGGAAGAGGAGGCAGAGGCUCAGAGGCUCCUCAGCUGCCAGGCAGACACACAUGGAGGACAGAGAGGUUCCAGAUCAACAGCCCUCCUGGUGGGCCAUCCACUCACCAGAUGUCUGAGCCCUCACUCACAGGACUCUGCUCGAUGAUCUCUGGGGACACGAAUUCAGGUGUAGACACCGGCAUCGUGUGGAGUCACGUCCAUCAACACCAAGGAAUAUGUAGUUCCACCUUGCUGCUGCCUCAGCCGGGUACCGUUCACCAGCUGGUUGCUGUCCUGGACAAACAGGGCUACCAUCAGCCUAUCCUGGGAUGUGCCAGCCCCCGACUCACACACGCUUCCUGGAGCAGCACUUCCAAUACCUGCUGUGUGCCCAGCCCCAGGGGCAGGCCAGAAGUGGGAUAGGAAGGUACUGAAUUGGGCUGCAGGGGGGGCUUUGGAGUGGGGGGUUGCAGGUUGCAUGAUGGGGUGCAUGAGCCCCAUUCCACACGUCCACUUAAUCUCACCCAUGCCCUCCAGCUCCUGAAGCCUGUCCCCUCCCCCUGCUGCCUGGGCCUACUCCUCCUACCUUGUACCAGGUCACUGUUGGCGGUGGGUUGCCUUCAAUGACAGCAUCAAACUGUGCCAUGUCACCCACUUGUACUUGUAGGUCCUCGAUAGUGACCUGCAUGGAUGGGGCCCCUGGGAGAGGUGGGAAGAGAGCCUGUGUGGAGGGACCCUCGGGAAUUCAUAGCCCUGGGUGCACAGCCCACUUAGGUGUACAUCUGUGGUCAGUAAAGCCUUGACUUAUGUCCCUUC